rnacentral:lncRNA from 1 species
GCACCCGGAGGCAUGGAGAUACUUGUCCAAGGUCAUGCAUGGCGAGUCUGUGAGGGAGCCGAGGGAUUGAAGACGAGCGGGCCGACAGUGGUUUGCAGGAUCCUGAGGACUGAUGAGCAGCUAUCCAGGGGAUCGUUGCUUGCAGGCAGGCGCUGCUACAAAACCUUGCCCCUUGGGAGUGAAGAACAGGUAACAAAUAGCCUGUUUGCCUACUGCUGUGGACAGCUACGGACCCAUACUGCUUGCACUGGGGUAGUUUUAUCCCUGAUUUUUCCUGGGGUGAUUCUCCACCAGAUUCAGGUACAUUAUAUUGAUGUAGGGCUGUUCAUCAUGUGUCUGCUCCUUUGUACAUCUGGGCAUCGGUCUCCUGCUCAUCCUGGAUGUGGCUGGGCAGAGGCCAGGGAUAACCUGAGCACGGUGUGGAUCUCGAAAAUAUUUUGCAUCUUUCUUGCCCUUAGCAGAAUAAAGUCCCCCUGAGCCCCUUCAGUCCCUGUGGCAUGUACAUUUAUUCCCUUGCAUCAAGAUGUUCUUGGGGUUCAAAGCAAUACUUGAUGACUGACUAUCAAUGCUGAGCACUUGCAGGCUUCAGUCGGAUCAGACAGCCAACACGGCAGG